GAUGAACGCUAGCGGGAGGCUUAACACAUGCAAGUCGAGGGGCAGCAUAGAGUAGCAAUACUUUGAUGGCGACCGGCGCACGGGUGAGUAACGCGUAUGUAACCUACCCUGUACAGGGGGAUAGCCCGGAGAAAUUCGGAUUAAUACCCCAUAAUGAUAUCGAGAGGCAUCUUUUGAUAUUUAAAGCUUCGGCGGUACGGGAUGGGCAUGCGUGACAUUAGCUAGUUGGUAAGGUAACGGCUUACCAAGGCUGCGAUUGCUAGGGGUCCUGAGCUGGUGGUCCCCCACACUGGUACUGAGACACGGACCAGACUCCGACGGGAUGCAGCAGUGAGGAAUAUUGGUGAAGGGGCGUAACCCUGAACCAGCCAUCCCGCGUGAAGGAAGAAGGCGCUAUGCGUUGUAAACUUCUUUUCCAGGGGAAUAAAAUUUUGUACGUGUACGGAACUGAAGGUACCCUGGGAAUAAGCAUCGGCUAACUCCGUGCCAGCAGCCGCCGUAACAC
rnacentral:rRNA from 1 species